rfam:Nitrospirillum amazonense Y2 contig01070, whole genome shotgun sequence.
CGGCGGGACACGCCUCCCCAACGAGGCGCAACUAUUCUGCAAGGAAUAGCAUCA